rnacentral:rRNA from 1 species
AAACUUUCAACAACGGAUCUCUUGGUUCCGGCAUCGAUGAAGAACGCAGCGAAAUGCGAUACGUAAUGUGAAUUGCAAAUUCAGUGAAUCAUCGAGUCUUUGAACGCACAUUGCGCCCCCUGGUAUUCCGGAGGGCAUGCCUGUCCGAGCGUCAUU